GGCUGGGGCCCCAGGCUGCAGAGCUUACGGGUAGCGUUCACGCCGGCCUGCACCUGGGAAGGAAGUCCUGGAAACCCUCCCCCUCUGGGUGGCCACUGGCCCGACCUCAACCUUGCAACUUCAAGAUUGGAGCGUGGACAGGACAAUGUUGUUUUUAGGGGCCUUGUACAUAGACCCUUCUGCAGACCAGGCCGUUACGGGACUGAGCAGAUCACCUGGGAAGCAGCACAGAGGACUCUGGGGAGAUGUGAAGACCAUGGCGGGUCACCGUGAACGCUGACGAGAGGGAGCUUCCUGAAGCCUCAUUCAGGCCACUGAACAACCACCUCUUUCAGGAGCCUCAGCCCCGAGCCCUUCCCUGGAACAGCCCAGAAACUGCGUCUCCGGGGUGGACCCGUCAAAGCGCCAUGGAGGAGGCAAGUCCUUUGGCUUCUAAGGCUGGCCCAGGAAGUCUGGACUGGGCCCACCCAGGGCCCCUGAUCAGCAGCUGGCACACAGCCUCUGGUGACAGCCCUGCCCAGGAGUUCUCAAUAUGUUCUUGUGAGGAGCCCACCAAGAAAAGAGGCUUGUGCCUUCUGAUUUUCUGGUAUUGAUGAAAAGAAUGCUAAUGAAAUCCCGAAUAAAAGCAGUAAGUCAGAGACCAAAGAAUGCAGACAGGGCUUUCCAAUGAUUAGGGAGGCAAAGUGGGGAGGGGAAGGCAAUCUAUUAAACAUUCUCUUUCGUCAGAAGGGACUGAAGCCUGAUCCUACAAGGAGUGGGCGAUCUAAACUCCCCUUCUGCCCUCUCUGGCUCCCAUUUGACCCAGGUCCCUGAAGAACUCUGCUCAUUCUCAGAUUUGAGUUCCUGCCUCCAUCCCACAUCUCCCAGAAGCCAGAAAGUUGGACAUGAGGCCUUCAAGUUCUUAGGUGCAUUUUAGCUCUACCUAGGAGUCUCCCCACACCCUCACUGUGCCACCACACCCCCACCCCCUCCUCCUACACUUCCGUGUCCUGAUACUGGUUACCUAAC